rnacentral:rRNA from 1 species
GACGAAGGGGGCUAGCGUUGUUCGGAAUUACUGGGCGUAAAGCGAGUGUAGGCGGUUGCCCAAGUCAGGUGUGAAAGCCUUGAGCUCAACUCAAGAAAUGCACUUGGUACUGGGUGACUAGAGGACCGGAGAGGAUAGUGGAAUUCCCGGUGUAGCGGUGAAAUGCGCAGAUAUCGGGAAGAACACCCGUGGCGAAGGCGGCUCUCUGGGACGGUACUGACGCUGAGACGCGAAAGCGUGGGGAGCGAACAGG